AGUGAGCGCUGGCGGUAGGCCUGACACAUGCAAGUCGAACGGCAGCACAGUAAGAGCUUGCUCUUACGGGUGGCGAGUGGCGGACGGGUGAGGAAUACAUCGGAAUCUACUUUUUCGUGGGGGAUAACGUAGGGAAACUUACGCUAAUACCGCAUACGACCUACGGGUGAAAGCAGGGGAUCUUCGGACCUUGCGCGAUUGAAUGAGCCGAUGUCGGAUUAGCUAGUUGGCGGGGUAAAGGCCCACCAAGGCGACGAUCCGUAGCUGGUCUGAGAGGAUGAUCAGCCACACUGGAACUGAGACACGGUCCAGACUCCUACGGGAGGCAGCAGUGGGGAAUAUUGGACAAUGGGCGCAAGCCUGAUCCAGCCAUACCGCGUGGGUGAAGAAGGCCUUCGGGUUGUAAAGCCCUUUUGUUGGGAAAGAAAAGCAGCAGGUUAAUACCCCGCUGUUCUGACGGUACCCAAAGAAUAAGCACCGGCUAACUUCGUG
rnacentral:rRNA from 1 species